GUGCAAGAAGCGGUCGGGGGGAAGAAAGUCUUUGGCAAAGUGAACAGCACAUGCAAAGACCCUGAGGCUGGAAAGGGGUUUGGUCAGCAAGAAGGCUCCAGAGAACAGGAAGGGGAGGCCAGGCUCAAACCCAGGUUACAGGGUCCUGGGGACUUUUGGAUGGAACCAAGAGGGUUGGGUUGAAUACCCAGUACCCAGACAUGCAGCAGCCAGGAUGGCUUCUCCUGUUGCCCAGUCUGCCUGUUUCAUACCCCAGGCCCGAGCCCCACUCCAGGGCUCCCUGCUCCCCCUGCAGCCUUCCCCUACCUCCACCUACCCCCCAACUGUUAAGGCAUGGAGACUUGCUCCCCUCCCCCCCAACCCUGCCAGCUUUGCUCUUGCAGCCUUGAGAGAGAUGAGCCAGCAGCAAGGCCUCAGCUCCACACUUUCAAGGCACCAGCCUCGAGGUGCAGACUGCUCAGGCUAUUUAUACUCGUCAAGGCCACUGCACAAUAGCCACUAGAGGGGCAGGCUUCACCGGAGAAGGAGAACAGCCUUGUGCUACCCCUCCCCCGUGCCCUCAAUGCUGGGGGGCAGCUGGAUCCUGCUGGUGUAGAUAAUUGGGUACCAGGGUAACAGGCCCAGGACAUGCACUGUGGUGGUUCCUUCUCUUGCUCAGGCCCCCCAUGGCCUCUGUCUCAUCAGUUGGGAGGCCCUGGCUCACCCUAAGGGGAGUAGGCUCCCUCCCCUUUGAGUCCCCAGCCCUUUGCCCUGUCAUGCAUGGAAUCCUGGGUUUGGGCAAGAGCUCCCUGGUAAGCAGAGUAGGGGUCUCCUUGGGACUGGAGCUGCUUGUUUUCUACCCAUCUGCUGCCCACUCUGUCACCUCAGGCCAGAGGGAGGCCCAGAUAUGGGGACCCAAAGGACUCUGAGGACAGACGGGUAAAGCUUAAAAGGAGACUCUUAUGCUCAAGUGCAAGCACCUGAAGAUCAGGGCCCUAUGAGCUGGAGGGGGAGAGAGAUGGACUCGGUCUGCUGUUUAGAACUGCCCUGCCGACGCUCGUGAGUGCAGGCACAGGGGAGGUUGUAGCCUUGCGUGCUCUGCCAGGGACCCCUGGGCUCUCUCCCACUGUGUCACCCCUGAGGCUGGGAGAGAGGUGAGUGGAAUGUCCUGGAGCACUCCCACAGCUGUGGUCCCCAUACCAGUUGGAAAGGACUGUCUCCAUCCCUCCACCUUGUAGUCCUUGUGCCCUAAUCUCAUCCUUGGAAUCUAAGGGUCACCCAGGGCUUGGAGCUGGGUGAGGAGUGAGAAGAAGGCUCAGAGGCUUCCCUGAAGCUGGACUGAGGCUCCUUCCCCACUGGCCUCUGCAGCUUAUGGACUGUGAGCUUCUCUGUUCAUAAGAGAGGGACUCAGAGAGGAAGGGGGUCUCUGGAUGGGAGGGAAGCUUAGCAAGGAGAGGAGUCCCAGAGAAAGGAGACGGAAGAAGCUCAGGGGAUGUCCGUUUUCCCGUGCAGCCAGAAUGUGGGGCUUUGGGCCUGUUUCUGGGCCAAGGGCCUCCAGGGCCAGAAUUCUCCAUGGAGGGGACACAGUUCAGCAGGUGCUUGGCGCAGCUGAAGCCCCUCUCCCUGAUGCUGCAGGCCCCAAGCUCUGAACUCUUUUUCUCAGAGGCACUUGAUAGUCUUAAGUCCAUCUGGAGUGCCGGGAGCUGGAACGACUUCAGGGUUUCCAGUUCCUGACUGGGGGCCGCCAGGAAGGAGAGGAAGGCAGGGUUAGUUCUAGGCCCCCUGAUGGGCUAGGGGGACCAGGAGUUCUCUGAGUGGUUUCCAGGACUAGCAAAGGCUGCACUGCCUUUCCCUUGGGGGAGGCCCGAAUAGUGGCCAGACCAAGGGGAUGGUUGCUGGUGGUCCUGGUGAGCCUGGGCCUGCCACUAGGGUGAGAUGGCAUGAGCACAGGUCUCGCCCAGGGCUUUGGGAGUCCAGCCUUCCCACCAUGAGCUGUGGAGAGCAGGUGUCAGCUCCUCUCUUCAUCUCCCUCCAUCACAGCCCAGUGGGGCUGGGGGCCAGCAGGUGCCAAUAAAGGCUGGAGGAAGGCCAGGAUGGGAGCUGGGGCUGAAGAAGCAGCAGAUGACUCACGCCCUCCUGACUGCCCACUGGUGUCACUGUUGUCUGGCACCCGGAGGGCAGGCAUGGGGUAGACCAACCUGCUCUGAUGGGGAACCAUGACUCUGGUCUGAGAUUCCCCUUAUGCCAAAGACUCAGCCUUUCAGAGAAGUUCCUCAGGGAUCCAAAGGCUCUCUAGGAGUCACACCUGAGGGCUCCAGGCACAGCCCCAUUUCAAACCCUGAGACCUAUCUGGGACAGUGGCUUCAUCAGUCACUCCCUUGGUGCAGCCCAUGAGGUCCCAGAUCCACCUCUGGUGCCCUUUCAUGAAUUAACUCCCUACACCUGUAGGAGAGAGCAGGACCCCCCCCAGUGCCAGGUGGGGUUGGGGGACAUGGGCCUUGCUAGGAGUGCCUGAGGCUCAGGAAGGCCCAGGAUGCAUCUCUCACACUUAUGGUCUCUGCCUGGAGAGAAGCAGCCUUGGGAAUCGGUAGCUGAGUGCUGAUCCGGGAUCUGCCGGGCCCUGAUUAAAAACACAUUUUACUCCACACUGGGCUGGAGAACUCUCCUCUGUGAGACCCCAGGAACCAAGCAUCGCUUCACCCAGAGCCUCCGCUCUGCCCGUGUGAGGGUCCAACCAGCUCAGAGGUGGAGCUGCUCUGGCCUGGAGGGUGGGGGAUGAGUGAUGAACCACCCCCAGAAUUCCCCAUUGGGCCCAGGGAGGCCAGCUGAGCCUCAGUCUCUCCCUCCAUUCUUUUGGAGUUUGUUCCAGUCGCGGUUUUUAACUCAAUUAGUCUAGAUGCCAAGAGAACCUAGGACCAGCUCCUGCCCCUCCACGGCUCCCCAUUCCCCCACAGUUUCUGCUCCACCCAUCUGGUAGCCCUAAUCUUGGAAGGGAAGCAGAGGCACUAGUGGUCCUGACAGCCAACCUUUGCUAGGCAGGUGGCAGGAGGGCCCUCGUAGUUGGCCCUCACCAGUCUCACUGUUGCUCUGUGGGAGCUUGGGAGGCCAGGCCCAUGAUGGUUCCUAUUUUGAGCUUAGGUGGCCAGAGUUGAGGGAGGUUGCCGACUCCCUGGGGCUCAGUAUGGGCAGAGGCUGAGGGAGCACGAGGGCCAGGGGCAUCCUUGCCGUCUCUCCAGUCUGUUCCCUUUCUUGUUGGUUUAGCCACUUACACACUUGUGGUCAGUCUUGGACUGGGCACUUGGAAUCUGGGAAUGCAUCAGGGAAGGCAGGGGACCCAAAAGCAGCUGGUGGCCAAGAUCACAGGAUUCCAUCAGCUUGGAAGCCAGAGCUCCCUCCCUCAUGCCACAAGCCGCACCCCCCUGCCACUCUGUGAAGCCUGGACCAUGGAGACUUAGAGGCCCCCAGAGGAUCAGCUCCACCCCUGGGCUCCAUGGUAGUGACAGCUUCAGCCAGGCAUCCGUCCUUCUGACAUGUCCCUCCAAGCUGGGGUGCACUCUCUUCAAAGGUGGAAAGGAAUUCUUUGGACUGCCCCAGUCAUUCUGCCCACAUGGGCUCCUGUCCUGUUCUCUCUGACCCACCCAUCUGUUCUUAAAGUCGCCCCCACCCUCCACUGGGCCCAGGUUCCUCAGGGACCCUGAGGGAGGGCAGCUCUCCUCACAUGCCCUUCGCAGGUGUGGUUGAAUGUCUGUUCUUGCCAGGCAUGAAGUCCUGCGUGUUUCUGGCAGCAAGGACUCCUUCCCCAUCCCCCGAGUCCUCCCCGCUGCUAGCUCCUGGAUGAGGCGCUGCUCCCGGGGAGGGUGAGGAGCACAGCACAGCCCGUAAACCAGCUGUGGACAGCAGUCAGGGUGCCUGUGCUGUUGUCCUCCUGGCUGGUGCGGCUGGCCAUCUUUCACGCAGAGUUACGUAAGCUUGAGUCAAUUGGAGCUCAGAGCCGUUCAUUGUGGGCUAUUUUUAAGCUAUAACACAUCACAGCAGAGGGGUCAAUGCACCAUGGCUUGCAGGGAAGGUUGUUUAAACAUCUGUUAUUUAAAUUUCCCUGUGCCUUAGAGCUCAAAACCACGUCCUCCUGCACUCUUGGGUUCUGCCUUUCACAUCCCAGGUGAGGACUGGAUUAUCACCCCUCACCCUGUCUCAGCUUCCUCUAGGACUGGGGUUUUCUGCACUGUGCCUGCCUUUCUUUGGGGUGAGGCAGCGGGGCAGGGAGAAGGUGCCAGCUCCUCCAAACAUGGGGCUGCCUCCAUGGGAUGGGUGCCCUCUGGCCAGGAGGGACUUCCAGGGAAGCAGGAAGUUAGAGUUCACAGGGAGGAGAGGAAAACACAGAGUGCUAGGUAUAGAGCUGAGAGCCGAAGGGUUCGCCUUCCUCCUGGGGGGCUUUGGUUUCCCAUCAGAACCCAGAGAGGGUUGAUCACAAGGUCUUUUUGGGUCUCUUCAGAAACCUGCCUUUGCCUGGGCUGUGCUCCUACCUGGAGUGCCCACCCUCCACACACCUACGUGCUACCCAUGUGCAGCCUCUGGGACAGGGGGCUGGUGUCUGAGCCCCUGGACAGUAGGCAGGGAUGAGCCUCUGGGGAAACAGGCAUUGCUUUUCACUUCUAUGAUCAAGUGGUUGGCUGCGCUGGGAGCUCUUUAAGGCUCCUUUUGAUCCUAGAUUUUUGGACAUGUCCAGAGUCUUCCACAGUACAGGGAGGGGAAGGCAGGUAGACUGGAAGAGUGCAGGGCCAGGGACUUGACAGAGCUGACUCCUGAGAACAUAACCGAGCCCAAAAUACAUCUGUGUUGGAGAAUCAGGUCUGGGAGACUUGGCUGGUCACAGGGUGGAAUCGAGCCCUCUGUGCCUCUCCUCCUGAUGGCCUUCCUGCCCACCAUCCUCAAGUCCUCCUAGGUAGGAGGAUUCCAGCCUGAUCCACUGGGCAGGAGGGUUUCUCAGAGUUUCCCAUCUCCUGAAGUCUGACCCUCUCCACAGGGUUUGGGGCCUUCACCGGAGCCUGCCUGCCUGAAGGUCAGGUGAAGUGUGAAGGGAGGCAGUGCUGGAACCUGCCCUCACAGAGGAGCCUCUGUAUGGCCUUGCCAUCAGACUGAGCUCCUUCCUGUUGCUUCUUGGCCCCUCCAUCCCAGACAGCCCUCAGCCUGGGGAAUGGGCUCAGCCUGGGGGAGGGGCUCUCCAGGUUGCCAUGGUAACAUGUUGGCCCUCCUCACUUUCCAGAAUCAGAAAUAGAAUUGGAUGCCCUUCUUCCUGGUGAGAGACUAUUUAAAAACAUGUUGGGGGAGGGGUACAGGGGCAAUGUCCCUGCCUGAUCCCUGGGGGCUGGGUAGAAGGGACCCAGCCUGGGAGCCUCUCUAACUGCCCUGCUGCCCCUCCCUGCAGCUGGAUGAAGCGAUGGGCUUCAGCCAGCCGAGAAUUCUGAGUACAAAGGAUUCAGCCUGGUCCCACAGGGUAUGUAACUAGCCCCUACUCAGCACUACCAGCUUCUUGGGAGGCACUGGCUUAGUGCCCCCCAGGAAAACACCCCCUCCCAGGCCUGAGCCAUCUGCUGUUGGGAGGAGGAACAGGGCCAUGUGGGAUACAGCUUGGGUGAGGGCUUGGGGCUGCAGCACUCGGAAGGGAGGCAUGUUGGCUCCCCUCUAGUCGGGUCCAUGCCCACGUGACCCUGGGCCUGGCACCCAGUAGUGGCACCGUAAGCUCCUAAAGUGUGGGUCCAGAGUCUGAUGGCCUAGCUUCAGAUUCUAGCUCUACAGCACACUAGCUGCAACCUCUGUGAAUUCUCUUUCCUCCCUGUGCCUUGAUUUCUUCAUUUGUAAAAUAAGGAUGACAGCGCCCGGCUCUCGCUGAAUCGCUGUGGGGCUGGAACAGUGCUCAGAACUGCCUGGCACACAGGAAGGGCCCAGCCAGUAAGCAGUCACUGUUCUCAUUGCUAUCAGCGGGGUUUGCUUCCCACGUGGGAAAAGGCUUCUCCUCUCUCCACACUGCCUUCUUUGGUCUUUCCUCCGUGGGCCGCACCGUUCUCAGGUUGGUUGUUCCUGGGGACUCCAGCCCUGAAAGGGAGGGUUAUGCCUCACUUCCGCAGGAGGCAGGGGGAUGGCUCAGUGGUCAGACAGGCAGGGACUUUCCGGGCCUCCCUCCAUGCCUCUCCAGCCCUCCCGCAAGCACAAGAGGCUGCUACUAGCAUCUCUGUCAUGGAGAAAAGCAAAACAAAAUUAAGAAACAGUUUGCUUGGGGCCAGAGAUGAAUGAAGUUAAUCGUGUUUGGCAGGUCUGUGUGUGCGCGUGCACACGCGCUCAGGCUGCAGACCCUUGAGCUCUGCCCCCUUCCUGGGCCCUACAUGUGUGGUGAGCAGCAGGGUCCAGACACAUCAGUCCCCGUUCUUCACUGGAGGCAGCGUCUGGGGCAGGGGGAGGGGGCCCGGGGGCCUGAGACAUGGCUGAGUCAGGUUGUGCCCGGUGCCGAGUCCGGAAGGCGCAGAUGAAGCCCAGCGCUAGCCUUGGUCCCUGGUCGCAUCGCUUCACACCCCACGGCCAACCGUAAGCACUCUUUUUAACUUCUGUGAAAACACAGCGCUUCAGAGGACAAGACUACAGCUUCAUUCUCCAUAAACCUGUUUCCUGGGUAGAAAGACUGAGGCCAGAAAGGAUAGUCCUGGAGGACAGAGGGAGGAGGCCCCGAGCUCAUAGCUGGGGGAGGGAGGAAGGUCUGACCCUGCCCCAGUCAGAACCUCCACACUCAGGCCUGUGGCCAUGGCUGCUUCCCCAAACUAGGCCUGUCCUCUGUGGCUGCAGGGCACAUCGGGGCCUGGGCUGCUGGUCCAGGCACAUCCUGCUCCUCCCUGACCCUCUGUUUGCCCAUCUAUGAACUGGAGGGUGCAGCCACCCACCUGGUCAAAUAGCUUGCUUUCCUGUGUGCUCUCCAAGUCCAGUCCUUUGUCCAACUUGUCCCCACUGUGUACCCAGUUCUGUACCCACCAUACCCCUGCUGGGUAGCCAGCCCUGUGCCCACUGUGAGGACAGACCCCUUAACCACUGUGUCCCUACUGUUCCCCAUCCCAUAAUUGCUACUUGGCUGGCCCAGUGUGCACUGUGGCCUAGCCCUAUGCCAGUGUUCUGCCCCUCUUCUGGCCAAGGUGAAGUUGACACAACGUGACAAAAGCUAGAACAUUCUGACUUGAGGGUUCUGAGCAGAGGCCCCACCCCUGCCUGUGUCAUCCCCAUCCCCACCCCCGUGGGAUACGGGUCCUGGGCCUCAAGGACGUGUGGCUCUGGGGAGGGGGCUCUGUGUAGAGCAGGCAGAGGAAAACCAUCUGGAGCAGAAAGACUGCCAAGGAGCUGCUGUCCCUGGAGCAGGAGCUGGGGAACAUGCGGGAGGGGAGUUAGAGCCUGGGCCUGGGCCCCUCACCCACUUCUGCCUCUCAGGACUGAGUGGUGAAGGGGCUCUGGCCCCCACAAAGGCCUCGUGCCACACACUUGGAACUGCAUCCCUGGGUCAGGGCUUAAGUCUCAAGUUGCCACGUGGGAAAUGGGGAGAAAGAGGCAAGUCUGGCAUCUGAGGUAGAUUGGGAGCCCAGGGGCUUCCUCCGUAUCUCCCCUGCCUACCUUUUCCCCUUGGCCUUAUACACGCCCUCGCCUCUAGGAGCACUGCCCUCGCUCAAGGGCUGGCCUGGGCAGAGUGGUCACCUGGCUGGCAAGGAGAGAGGAGGCCAGUCUAGGGAUGACUUCACUGGGGCCUUUCUGUCCCCCAAGAUUCCCUGGGCAGGCCCCCAUUCCUCGGGGGGGUGGGGCCCCUGGUUUCCCACACUCUCUCACCCUCCCCCAGGUCACUGGGGGCUGUGAUGUGUGCGGUUGCCAUGGCAAUGAAGUGGGGGCAGGGCACCUAGGGCAUGGAGCAGGACUAUGGAAGUCACCAAGAAAGUGGGGGGCCCUGAUCCAUCGGGCCCUCAGGGCCACCCCUCAGUUGGCAGCCAGCAGGUGGGGGGUGGCCUUAGAGGGUCCCAGGGACCAUGGACAAACUCAGGAUCUGUAUACUCAAGGCAGGGGCUGUCAUUGUCCACCAAGGCCAUCUCUGAAGGGGCCUAUGGCACAGCCUCCCAGGCCCACACCCAUGAGCCCAGUCACCAGCAGCUCCGGGACCCUGCUGAGGUUAGCUCCCAGUGUGGCUCUGAGAGGGCCUCCCAGGAUUCCCUGAGACUCCCCUCCACUAGCUCGUUUCCAAGCUCUAACGUGGGAGCCCAAACACAUCUCGUCAUGGAGAACAGGAGCCUGGCCCUACCGGUGUGCAGGCGCAAUGACGGCACCAGUGACAUGGCCCAGCACAGACUCUGCUGUUCCCGGCUUCAGGUGCAGAUGGCGGGGGAGGGCAAGACUCCAGCUAAAGUCCUAGUAGGCUGGGGCAGAGGCCCCUGCAGCCCUGGCCAGAUAGCCUCAUUGGGCAUUAGGAAGAGCCGGUGGCUACCGUAUUUUCUUUCAGGGGAGGAUGGCUCAGCUGCAGCCCAAAGUCCUCUUCUGGCUCCAACCCAAGAUCAGGGCCAGGGCAAGUGCCCCUGUCCAGCUCAAACUCCUCCAACUCCAACUCCAGCUCGGGCAAAUACUCCAGCUCUGGAUACAAUCUCAACAUCAGCAGCAGUUGAAUCUUACACCUGCAACCUUGACCAUGUGACCAACACAAAUGCCAUCACCAAGGGCCUGUCCCCAGACCUCUUGCCCAGGAAAUGUGACAACCAAUGGUCAGCCCAGUCCAGUUCUUCCAAAGGGGUCACAUCCUGCCAGGACAAAGUGAAUUUCCAUUCUCAGGAUGAGCCUCCCACCCCAGCACUCACUCCAAGAGAGUCCCCAGACCAGGCCCAGGAGCUCAAGUUUGCCCGAAGCCUGGUUUUACCAAGGCAGCCCGAGAACCAAGUGGAGAAGCCCCUGACCUCCAGGUUGGGCAGCCCCAAACCAGACUCAGGGCCCCCUGAAACCCCCAAGCCCCAGAGGGGUAACCAGGAGAUCUACAGCGCUCAGCCAGGUCAGCAGCCCUUCAAUGUUUGCAACAACACCUGCUCCAACAUGCUGCCGUCUGCCCACCAAGUAACUUGCCACAACCCACCCCAAGUACAGCCUCCUAGGGAAACCAUGCAGAUACCCCCUCCCAGUGCCCCUACCUGCCAGCUCCAGGAUGCCGUGGAAGACCGUGUGCUGGUGUUUGAUAUGGCCACCGGCAACACCAGGAUGGGGCUCCUGUGCCAUGACCCCAUGGGCUCACGGGCAGUGCUGGUGGGCCUCAUGCCCAGCCACCCAUCCAUCUAUGCCUCUGAAAAUACACUGUCCACCUGGCCGUUGGCCAUGCCCAUCCUCUCCCCUGACAGCAAUCGCUCCAGCUUCUGGUCCACCACGCCCAUGGUGUCCAGCCCCGUGCCCUCCAGCCUUUCAUCUGGAAGCUAUCGAGAAGUGGCCCUGGUUCCCAAAGAGGCCAGGCUCAACCUGGAGUCACAAGGCUCCCCUGGUACUGAGACACCCAUCAGGAUGGGGAUGCUCACUGGGCCUGUUCCACUGGGGAUGCCCCUCCAAUUUGGAGAGAGGAUACUGAGCCAUGCCCAUGAUCCUGGCUGGUCUGACGCUGAAAAAAAUGAAGCUAGUCACACCAUCUGGAUGCUGGAUGCCUCUGGGAUGCAGGACACCUCUAUGGUCCAGGACAAGAAACUGCAGUGGAUGAACUCAGAGCAGACCCCAGAGCCUGUACCUCCAGCCAAAAACCAGGAGGUGCUCAGACUCCUGCUCCAGGAGAAUACAGGCAGCCACAAUCAGAAAGAGGUCGUUAUUGCUCACCCUGACAACGCUCAGGUCCAAGGUGCUGGGCAGGCCCCCCUCGGCGGUCAGCCCCCACUAGCUGAGCAGCAUCCCCUUUCCAGACAGCGCCCUUCAACUGGUCAGCCUCCCUCUGCAGAGCAGUGUCCCCUUACUGGGCAGACCCACUUUUCCGGACAGCCACCCUUAGCUGAGCAGACCCCCUCCACCAAGCAGCCGCCUCUUCCUGGUCGGGCCCCUCUCACUGGAUCCCCUAUUGCCAGGCAGCGUUCUCUCACUAGGCAGCCUCCCUUUCCCCAAGAACCCCCCAUCGCCAAUGAGCCCACUCUCUCAAGAGGUCCCCUGACCACUAGGGAGGCUGGUCAGGCCUCCACCCUGGGCCAGGGAGGUGAGCCAUUAGGCCCGCCUACCCAUGCGGAGGUACUUCGGGUGACCCCGGCCCCUGAGGAGACCUGUGUCUAUGUAAACAGAGAAAAGGUUGGUGUCAGCACUGGUCAAAGCUCCAGCUCGCAUGGGCUCUCGUCCUGGCAACCUAGCAGCUCCCCCGGAGGGCAGGAGGAGCAGCUUUCCCUGAUCACAUUCACCACACCUGGCCCCGGCUGCAAGGUCUUGCCCAUGGCCAGAGUGGGCACUGAGGCCCAGGGUCCCCGGUUCGAGCUGACAGCUGAGGACAUUACACACUCGCCAGUGGCCGCACACCUUGGCCUUCUUCGAGGGGCCUGCUAUGAGCUGGUGCCCACCAUGGAUGUUCUGUCAGUGCAGUCGCCAGUGCUCUGCCGCCACUUACUGGGCCCCUACCAGGACAUGGCAGCCGUGGUGAUUGACACAGGCACGGGCUUCACCAAAUGUGGACUGGCUGGAGAGGACCAUGUCCUCAGUGUGCUGCCCUCACGUGUCCAGCUGCUGCAGCACCCAGUCCAGGGCCAGCCCAGGUAUGCGGUGCCUGAGAACCGAGAGGGCUCCUACUCGGUGCUGAAUCGAGGCGUGGUCUCCGACUGGGAUGCACUGGAGGUGCUGUGGCAGCACCUGUUCUACUGUAGGCUGGGUGUGCAACCCGAGGAGCUGGCUGUGCUUGUGGCGGACUCACCCACCUCACCGCGCACCAACCGAGAAAAGGUGGCUGAAAUACUCUUUGAACGUUUCCACGUGCCAGCCAUGCAGACAGUGCAUCAGGCCCUGCUGGCGCUCUAUGCUUACGGGCGCACCACUGGGCUGGUGCUGGGCAGUGGCCAUGGCACCUCCUACGUGGCGCCCAUCGUCACCGGGGAUCUGGCCCCAUUUGACACCUACCGGCUGGAUGUGGCGGGUGCCGACCUCACUGAAUACCUGGCUCAGCUGUUGUUGGCAGGCAGCCAAUCACUGCUCAAGGCAGGGCUGGUCAACCAGAUUAAAGAGGCCUGCUGCUACGUGGCCAAGGACAUGACAGCUGAGAUGGCCCGUGCCCAGGCCCGGGUGGACUUUGUGCUUCCAGACAAGCAGGUCAUCACACUGGGCUCUGAGCGCUUCCGCUGCCCCGAGGCCCUCUUCCAGCCCAAUCUGCUAGGCCUCAAUCAGCCGGGCCUUCCACAGCUAGCCCUCCUAAGUAUCAGCCGGCUGGAGGCCAAGCAGCAGGAGCAGCUGCUGGCCAAUGUGGUGCUGGACGGUGGCAGCACCCUGUUGAGUGGCUUCCCUGAGCGCCUGAGGCAGGAGCUGGGCCCCGGCGCCACCGUGCUGGGCUCUCCGCACCGUGCUGUUGCUGCUUGGCUCGGAGGCUCCAUCAUGGCGUCCCGGGACUCCUUCCGGAGGCUGUGGCUCAGCCGCCGUGAGUACGAGGAGGAGGGCCCCUGGGCCAUCUACAAGUACCACCUCUCAGAGCCUGGCGAUGCCGUUUGGGUGUGUGACUCUGGGCGACAAGAAGAACUAUAACCAGCCAUCGGAGGUGACUGACAGAUAUGAUUUGGGACAGGUCAUCAAGACUGAGGAGUUCUGUGAGAUCUUCCGGGCCAAGGACAAGACAACAGGCAAGCUGCACACCUGCAAGAAAUUCCAGAAGCGGGAUGGCCGCAAGGUGCGGAAGGCAGCCAAGAACGAGAUAGGCAUC